ACAUUUCCUUCUGAAUCUUUUUUAACAGGUACCGUGCAAAGAUAUAUGUUUAUGACAACAGUGACCAAGCCGUUUUUGUCCUACUAGGUGAUGCUGGUCGUGUGUUAACCGGAAGGCACGCAUCAGAGUUAGUUAGCAACUACUUUGAGGCUAAUGGGAGUGAAGGAGCUGACCAUUUGGUGCCUGUCCCGGAAGCUCUAAUCAGCACCAUCGGACAGACACAUAAGUUUUGUGUGAAAGUUACACAGCACAACUUCUCUGGCGAUACCCGAGCCAUAACUGUCACCAAGAUCCUCUCUCUAGACACACCACCACCCACAGAAGCCUCUGUUGGAAGCAACAUUGCUGCCACGUCCGGGGAGACAGUGCAGACUGAGAAUGAAGUUUGUGAACCUUUCAAAACCCGUGGUGAUUCUGCAGAUGAGGAGAGUAUAAGGACGUUUGACAGUGUUGAUCCAGAGAAAGCCAAACGCCCAAGACGUGAUGAUUAAGCUUCGGUUCAUGGAUGUUUAAGUCUUUGCUAUAUAGUUCAAGCAUAGACUUGGUUUUUCUUAAGUUUGCUUCAGUUUAAGUACUAUUUUGGUUUAUCUAAAGACAGUGCAUUGUUUCUUUCCCUUUCAGACUUUGUCUUUUAAUCUUUGAACUACUUUUUUAUAAUCACUUCUGUCUUUA